UUAGUACUCUCUCCGUUUCAUAAUUUUUGUCUCAAAUUUGCCCGAAUAUACAUGUAUCUAUUCCUAAAAAGCGUAUACAUACAUGUAAUAUUUCGACAAGAAUUAUAAAACGGAGAGAGUACAAU
rfam:Brachypodium distachyon strain Bd21 chromosome 3, whole genome shotgun sequence.